CUGGAAGCUGGGUCAUAAAAGAUUUGGCUUCGACCUUGCUCAUGGGUCACCAGCUCUAGCUCUUGAAGCUUUUGGCUUCCAUGUAAACAGUUCAGCUAAUCUGGGUCUGCCAAGUUAUAUCAAAGCCCAAAGUAGUCCAUGCAGAGAGAUCACAGGAAGAGGCUUGGUGGCUACAGAAAGACAGAAAGAUGCCUGACCUGCUUCCAGCUGCUUCAGCCCCCCCACUGUCCCAUCUCCAGACACGUCAAACUGCAACUGGAUGACAGACAUUAAGCUGGAACUUUGCAGGCAAGCCCUUUCUUAGCCUGACCCAUGGAGAAUCUCCACUGUCUCCUACCAGUUUGCCCCAGCAACUUCAUG
rnacentral:lncRNA from 1 species